CUGGGAGGCAGGAGGGCCAGGAGGAUUUCCUCUCUAAAGAGCCUGUCACUGUUCGGGGCUUUCCUUGCCCAGCAUAAGGAAAACCUCAUCUUUCAGCAAUCACUGGCUCUCCAGAUGAGUCCUUGAGAAGACCAGAGUGGAAGCAGCUUUGGAACUGGGUAAUGGGUAGAUGCUGGAACUGUUUUGAGGUGACUGCUGGAAAAAGCCUGUAAUGCUUUGAAUGCAUUAAUGAUUAUUCUGGCGAGGGCUCAGAACAAGAGAAUAGAUGCAGAGAAAGACUAAAACUUCUUAAAGAUUACCUACCUGGUUGUGAGGGACCUGGUGGGAGGUGAUUAGAUCAUGGAGGCGGACUUCCCCCUUGCUGUUCUCAUGAUAGUGAGUGAGUUCUCAUGAGAUCUGGUUGUUUAAAAGUAUGUAGCACUUCCCCUUUCACUCUUUCUCUCCCGCUCCACCAUGUGAAGAAGGUGCUUGCUUCCUCUUCACCCUCUGCCAUGGUUCUAAGUUUCCCCAGGUCUCCCCAGCCAUGCCUCCUGUACAGCCUGUGAAACUGGGUUGAUUAAACCUCUUUUCUUUAUAAAUUACCCAGUCUCAGGUAGUUCUUUAUAGCAGUGUGAGAAUAGACUAACACAGAAAAUUGAUACCAGAGAAGUGGGGCAUUGAUAUAAAGAUACCUGAAAAUGUGGAAGUGACUUUGGAACUGGGAAAUGGACAGAGGUUGGAACAGUUUGGAGGGCUCAGAGGAAGAUAGGAAGAUGAGGGAAAGUUUGGAACUUCCUAGAGACUUGUUGAAUGAUUGUGACCAAGAUGCUGAAAAUGACAUGAACAGUGAAAUCCAGGCUGAGGUGGUCUCAGACAGAGGAACUUAUUAGGAACUGGAGUAAAGGUCACUCUUGCUAUACUUUAGCAAAGAGACUGGCAGGCAUUGUGCCCCUGCUCUAAAGAUUUGUGGAACUUUGAACUUGAGAGAGAUGAUUUAGGGUAUCUGGCAGAAGAAAUUUCUAAGCAGCAAAGUAUUCAGGAUAUGGCCUGGCUGCCUCUAACAGCCUACAUUUAUUUGCAUAAACAAAGAAGUGACCUGAAACUAGAACUUAUAUUUAAAAGGGAAUCAGAGCAUAAACGUUUAAAAAAUUUUCAGCCUAAACAUGCAAUAGUAAAGAAAAACCUAUGUUCUGAGGAGGAAUUCAAGGCUGUAGAAAUUUGCAUAAGUAAAGAAGAGCCGAAUGUUAAUAGCCAAGACAAAGGGGAAAAUGCCUCCAGGGCAUUUCAGAGACCUCAGCGGCAGCCCCUCCCAUCACAGGCCCAGAGGCCUAGGAGGGAAAAAUGGUUUCAUGGGCCAGGCCCAGGACCCUACUUCUCUGUGCAGCCUUGAGACAUGAUGCCCUGCAUCCCAGCCACUCCAGCUCCAGCCAUGGCUAAAAGGAUCCAAGGAUGUUUCCCUGUCUCGGGGGUUCUACAUGCCUAUCCAUGGGUUUGCAAAGCCUGACAGCCCUGCAAUAUGGGCUUGGUCCUGCUGUCCCUCUGGAAGCCCAAAUUCACAACAAUGAACUCACUUUCUUUCCCUGGAUGAGCUGCUCCAAAGUUCAGCACCUCAAUUGGAGUCCAGGUGUCGUGAUGGAACCCGGGGGAGAUGAGAGGGCAAGACCCUCGUGUACUGCAUCUCACAUCACCCUCCAAUGUCCUGUGUCUUCUUUGUCAAGGCAGACUAAGGGCGACCUAAUUUCCAACAUGCAGGCCCAGAAACCUUGAAACUGACCAGCUCGAGCGUCCUUGCAAGCCUCUCCAGCUGUGAAAAUCCCCUGGCUCGUAGUCCUAUGUCGUCCACACGAUGCUUUUCCUGCAUUUUGCAGACAACUGCUGAUCCCCAAGGGCCAUGCAUGGCUGUAUCUCCCAUCCAGAGAACAUCUACAAAGCUCACGCAGCCAUGGGGUCUCAUAGUUUGACCUGAAACUGAUGGUGACUCCUGUCACCAACAGGAGUGGUCAAAACAUCCUUUCUGGAGUAUUAAGUGUUUGUAGAACCCUGGACAUUUAUGGUGGCAGAGUGUGUAGCAGCCUCAAGGAGAAAUCUUCCCCCUUCAUUGCCCCUUUCUAGAAUCACACCAAAUAAUUGGGGUUCUCAGUAGAGUCUGGAGGCAAUCCCGGAGACUGAGGAAGGGGAGAGCCUUCCACUUUUCCAUUUCUCCCAAGCCAUUUUGUAUGCCUACAGGUGUCAGUAUAAACCAAAGAAUGUGCCUUGUCUCAGAUGAAAAGUUAGAGUAACCAUAUAAUUUAUUGUCUAAACCUGGACACCGAUGAGAGUGAAAAGGAGAGCUAUUAAUAACGAGGCCAGAACGACAGGUGUAGAUGGUGACUGUCCCAGGCAAACUGGGACAUAUGGUCAUGCUAUGACUGUGAGCUCUAAAUUGGUGCAGGCUCCAGUGCUGGCUGUCUAUUAGGUUUAUGUAUAAUAUAAUACCCAAGUGACCCUAGGUCCACAGGGUAGAGGGGUUGAGGAGGGUAAGGAAGGUCAGCAACCAUGCCUGUCUGAAGGCCAUGUGGAGGUAGGGAAUGGAGAGAAAGGGGAUCAAUUUAAUACAGAAAAAGCUGACUCUGCUGCAGACUUGAGGAAAUCCAGGUCCUUUUUCUUGUCUGAGCUGCUACUUGCUCUCAGCAAAGAAAUUGAGUUCUGCCAACUCCCACCCCAGCUGCAAAAUGCAGCAGAGUCCUGGGUCCUGAGGUUGGAAUUCCAGGCCCACUAUCCCCACUAGCUUCUGUGAGUCCAUCAGAAGAUAGGACCUCAGGUCUGCAACAUUUACUUAUCCUUGGCUUUCUGUCAAAAAGUCCAAGCAGAUGGUAUUCUCCUUCAUCCCUUCUUACAGACAGUGACAGAUCCACUGCUCAAAAUCCUUUCCCCACCCUAAGCAAGGCUAUAGCAGAAACCAUCUUCUUCUAGGCCUUACAUGUUUAACCUAGCCAGCCAGAGGUUUAUAAAAGACAACUUCCUCUAUUUCCAGAGGUGAAAAAAAAGCUAAAGUAGUCUAUUUAAAAUUUUCUCUCCUCAGACCCCAAAGAAUAAAAAAACUUUUUAAGUAUUGGAUGGAAAUUCUUUUUUGUUCACUUAAAACAGAUGAUCCCCUUCUAGAGUAGAAACAGUUAAUUGGUCUACAAAAUAGUAUUCUAUAACAUGUCUUAUCAUUAUCCUCAAUCUGUAAGCAAAAAUUAUAUUGAAAUCAAAUUGAAAUGCUCCAAAGUGGCUACAAAGAUAAAAUUAUUCUUCCAGAAACAUGGUACUGUGGAUAGAGAAUUCAAGAAAACUCCUUUAGAUGUCAUAUAUACCACAACAUAUCACUUGAAAAAGAAAAAAAUCCUUUAUGUAACCAUAAAAAAUAAGAAACUCAUAUUUUGCAUUCUUAUAUAAAUUCAAUUGAAUAAUAGAUUAGAACUUAAAAUCAGUUUUUGUCAGAGUCAGUUCUCUCAUUAUCACGCUUUCCUUUUCCCUGAAUAAAACUAUUAUUAGUGGACUCAUAAUUUACUAGACUUUUGCCAAAAGACAAAGACUUUUACUUUGUUCAUGUUUUUGCUUUAAGAAAAGUAUACAAUAAAUAUUUGAUAAGUAUGUAAAUAAAAAGUCAUACUAAGCAUCAAAUUAUAGCAAUAAAUAUAAAUGGCUUAUAUUUCUCCAAAGCCUCAGAUUGAACUGAAAAAGCAAACUUCAAUUUUCUGCUUACAAGAGUUAUAUCUAAAACAAGCCAAGUGUGGUAGCUCACACCUGUAAUCCCAGCACUUUGGGAGGCUGAGGUGGGCAGAUUGUUUGAGGUCAGGAGUUCAAGAUCAGCCUGGCCAACAUGGUGAAAUCCCAUCUCUACUAAAAAUACAAAAUAGCUGAGCAUGGUGGCAUGUGUCUGUAAUCCCAGCUAUUUGGGAGACUGAGGCAGGAGAAUCAGAAUCCCUUGAACCUGGGGGGUGGAGGUUGCAGUGAGCCAAGAUCAUGCCACUGCUCUCCAGCCUGGGCAACAGAGUGAGACUCCGUCUAAAAAAAACAAAACAAAAUAAAACAAAACAAAAAGAGUUAUAUCUAACACAAAAUGGCCCAAACAUACUAAAUAUAAAAGGAUUGCAGUAGUCAAAAAUAAGAAGAAACAUGAGCAAAGAGAAAAGAAAAUUGGCAAUAUUAAUAUAGCAGAAGUAGAAUUUAAAGCAAAUCAGUAAAUCAAAAAAUCAAAACAACAGUUUUACAUUCACAAAGAUCAAAUUAACUGGAUUUACAUGUAAUUAUUUAUUUUUGUGUGUUUUUGCUUGUUUGUUUAGGGGUGUGCCAAAAAGCCAUUUGGGGAUUUAUGUAUUCAAUCUAUUGUUUUGUGAGCAAAAUAAUCUGGAAUAUUCACCAAAUAUGAUAACAGUAUACAUAAAGUAAAAAACUAGAAAUAAAUAAAUUAUUGACAAAAAAA